rnacentral:miRNA from 1 species
UAUUCGACUUCAUAAACACGAUCAAAUUUGGUGUUUAUUACUGCGAUAGUCGAAGUGAUAAACACGAUCAACUUUGGUGUUUAUGACGUCGAUAUUCGAAGUGAUAAACACGAUCAACUUUGGUGUUUAUGACGUCGAUAUUCGACUUCAUAAACACGAUCAAAUUUGUUGUUUAUUACUGCGAUAGUCGAAGUGAUAAACACGAUCAACUUUGGUGUUUAUGACGUCGAUA